rnacentral:lncRNA from 1 species
UUUUUUAUUUUUUAUUUUUUUGCUUUUUGGGGCUGCACCUGCAGCAUAUGAGAGCUCCCAGGCUAUAGCUGCCUGGCUUAUACCGCAGCCACUGCCACGCAGGAUCCAAACCAUGUUUGCAACCUAUGCCACAGCUCAUGGCAAUGCUAGAUCCUUAACCCACUGAGCAAGGCCAGGAAUUGGACCUGCAUUCUCAUGGAUACUAGUUGGGUUUGUUACCGCUGAGCCACAAUAGAAACUCUUUUUCUUUUCAGUUUUUUGUUCUCACAGCUCUAUCAAACAAAAAAUGUCCUCUGCAUGUGUGCGUAUAUACAUAUGUAUACACGUAUGUGUGUGUAUACACACAUAUUUAGCUAAAUGCAAAUGGAAUCCAAGGAGUGUUCCUGAGCAUUUCUUUUUCAUGACCCAUAUCAGAGACCUUGGAGAUUGGGUGUGUCUGCACUAUUCUUUUUUUCCCUACUUUACUUAGUUUAUAUAUACAUUUUAUUAGAAGUAUAGUUGAUUUACAAUUUCUACUGUACAGUAUGUACCCAGUCAUACAUAUAUAUACAGCCCCCCCCCCUUUUUUUGUGGUCUUUUUAGGGCCGCUCUCAAGGCAUAUGGAGGUUCCCAGGCUAGGGGUUGAAUCAGAGCUGCAGUCGCCAGCUUGCACCAUGACCACAACCACGCCGGAUCCCAGCCACAUCUGUGACCUAUACCGACCUACACUGUAGCUCAUGGCAACAUCAGAUGUAUCCUUAACCUACUGAGCGGGGACAGGGAGCGAACAUGCAUCCUCAUCGAUAUGAGUCAGGUUCAUUACUGCUGAGCCACAACAGGAUCUCCUUAACAAGGUAUUUAAGUACUGUCAGUGUCAUUUCAUUUUCUUCCACACCUGCUACUCUUCUUCCCUCUACUUGUCUGUUGUUUCCACCUACACCUCUUUUUUCCAUUUCCGCAGUUGGAAUAUUGUACUUGUACAUUUUUGAAUGAGGAUGUGAAUAGCCACGUUAUCCAAUUAAAGCAGAUGAUGGUCCUGUAUCACAGAAUAAGCUUUUGCCAAAUGGUGAUGAUUCCUAGAUGUUGGCUGUUCUAGUCCACACACCAGUGGCCUUGGUUGGUCUUUCCAGUUUGUUCCCUUGGACUGCUCUCAUGGCAGUCCCUGCAAACAGGCAAAUACACAACAGGUGUCUAAAAAUCCUAGAAGUAGACAUUUCCUACUCACAGAUGCCAAGGCGUAUUGUCUGUGUGUGUGUGUGUGUGUGUGUGUGUGUGUAAGAAGUAGCACUUUCAGCGAGAAGUGUAUGUGUUCCUAAUAUUCUCAAAUUCAGGUACCUUAUCAUGCCUUAGAUUAUGGCUCAUCCAGCACUGAGCUGGAUUUUCAUGAACACUUAUCAAGUGCUCCUCCCAACCCUUCCUGAGUCCACCUGUGGAUAUUAAUGAUUCUAACUCUAGGACUAGAAGGAUUUAUGCCUAAGAAUUCACAGAUCUGAUUGCAUCUUGCCAGGCACAAAAGCUACCAGGACAC